rnacentral:rRNA from 1 species
GAUGAACGCUGGCGGCGUGCCUAAUACAUGCAAGUCGAGCGAACAGACGAGGAGCUUGCUCCUCUGACGUUAGCGGCGGACGGGUGAGUAACACGUGGAUAACCUACCUAUAAGACUGGGAUAACUUCGGGAAACCGGAGCUAAUACCGGAUAAUAUAUUGAACCGCAUGGUUCAAUAGUGAAAGACGGUUUUGCUGUCACUUAUAGAUGGAUCCGCGCCGCAUUAGCUAGUUGGUAAGGUAACGGCUUACCAAGGCAACGAUGCGUAGCCGACCUGAGAGGGUUGUCCGCCACAAUGGGACUGAGACCAGGUGCAGACCCCCACGGGGGGGCACAAUAGGGGAUCCUCCGCAAUGGGCGAAAGCUUGACGGAGCAACGCCGCGUGAGUGAUGAAGGUCUUCGGAUCGUAAAACUCUGUUAUUAGGGAAGAACAAAUGUGUAAGUAACUAUGCACGUCUUGACGGUACCUAAUCAGAAAGCCACGGCUAACUACGUG